CAUCUGCAUGUUCUGUUUUAUCACUGCUAUGGUUUUCAUGUUCUGAUUUUAAUUCUAGUCCUUACUUUGUCUUGAAUCCCCAGGGUUGAAAUUGCUAUUAAUUCCUAUCCAAUCUAAAUCUUUUAUUUUGCUGCAACCAUGACCAAUGCGGUGAAGAUUAACAUUACUGCUACCGCUGUUUCGGUUGCUGCCAUUGCCGUUCUAAUUGCGUGAGAGUCGCAUCUGCUGCCAUGAAUUAAAAGGAGAGGGAAUUAUCACGAUAAAUUUGUGUGAACUCAGUUAAUUGAGGAAUCGGAUGAAGAAGCAUUAAGAAGAGUUAUAUUGUGUUUGGUUUAUAUGAUGUUCUGUUAAUUAGAUUAUUUUCUUCCCUCGUCUUU